rnacentral:rRNA from 1 species
AGUAAAUAGAUACCCUGGUAGUCCACGCCCUAAACGAUGUCAACUAGGUGUUGGGGGAGCAAUCUCUCAGUACCGCAGCUAAACGCGUGAAGUUGACCGCCUGGGGAGUACGGUCGCAAGAUUAAAACUCAAAGGAAUUGACGGGGACCCGCACAAGCGGUGGAUGAUGUGGAUUAAUUCGAUGCAACGCGAACAACCUUACCUACCCUUGACAUGUCUGGAAUCCUGCUGAAAGGCGGGAGUGCCCGAAAGGGAACCGGAACACAGGUGCUGCAUGGCUGUCGUCAGCUCGUGUCGUGAGAUGUUGGGUUAAGUCCCGCAACGAGCGCAACCCUUGUCCUUAGUUGCUACGCAAGGGCACUCUAAGGAGACUGCCGGUGACAAACCGGAGGAAGGUGGGGAUGACGUCAAGUCCUCAUGGCCCUUAUGGGUAGGGCUUCACACGUCAUACAAUGGUCGGUACAGAGGGUAGCCAACCCGCGAGGGGGUAGCCAAUCCCAGAAAGCCGAUCGUAGUCCGGAUCGCAGUCUGCAACUCGACUGC